GCUCUUCUGGAUCUACAGCAGCUGCAUCGAGGACUCCCACAGAGGUGCUAUAGGGCUGCGCAUUGCACUGGCCAUCUCAGCUAUAGCCGUCUUCCUGGUCUUGGUGUCUGCCUGUAUCCUUCGAUUUGGCACCAGGUCUCUCUGCAACUCCAUCAUCUCCUUGAACACUACAAUUAGCUGUUCUGAAGCCCAGAAAAUUCCAUGGACACCCCCUGGAACUGCUCUGCAGUUUUACUCCAACCUACACAAUGCUGAAGUGAGACCCAAGGAUAGGAGGAAAAACUGACAUAAAUAUCUGUAGCUGUGUGGGUGCUCACCAGUGUAUUGUGAGCUUGGCCUACCAGUGAGAGGAGCUGAAGGGGUUGUCAGCUUAAAAUUCAGCAGUUCAGAGUGGUGUGUG
rnacentral:lncRNA from 1 species